GAAGAGAUAAGUGCUGAAAGCAUCUAAGCACGAAACUUGCCCCGAGAUGAGUUCUCCCUGAGACUUAAAGUCUCCUGAAGGAACGUUGAAGACGACGACGUUGAUAGGCCGGGUGUGUAAGCGCAGCGAUGCGUUGAGCUAACCGGUACUAAUGAACCGUGAGGCUUAACCUUACAACGCCGAAGCUGUU
rnacentral:rRNA from 1 species